CAGAUUAUGUUUCAGACAACGCGUUUUGUAUUGAGUUCGAAAACGUGGAAGAAACCAGGCUCCAGGAUUGCGACCUACAAAAUCACUAAGACGUGGUUGCAGGAAUGCUUUCAGGGACUAUCCAUCCCUUGCGGUCCCGGACUGUGCUCUCAUUGACUGGCAGCACAGUGUCGACCAGUUGGGGUCUGUCAGGGAUGAAUAGUCGAAUGGCCCACUGGUGAUGUAGAAUUGAUGUUGGAUUGUGCUGCCAGGAAGCAUUUUGUUUGUGAAGCGCCUAAUAAAACACAGGCGCACACACACACACAGACCAUCGAGUUAAUAUAUCAAACUUUAAACGCACAUCUCCGCAUAACGCUCAUGCAUUGAAAUCGGUAACCCCAAAGGCGCCGCCAUUCUUCUACGCUGUGGGUGCAGCGCGCAGCUGGGGUGGCUAGAUUGGGGUGUUGUGAAGACUGGCCGCUGGAGGCGGGCCCCAAAAACGCGUUCCUGUCACGUGACGGCGCUGCCGGCACGGGCCCCGUUUAGGGCGCCGCGACAAUCCGUGACCUGUACCAAAAAAAAAAAAAAAAAAAUGGCCGACGGCGCAGUGUAAAUCGCGUCAAAAAAUCCUCGUGUCGAUGUCAAAUUUCUCAGCAAGCUUCCUUUAGACAAGGUAAAUUAAUGGCCUUUAAAAGAAAACUUGUUACCUUUCGGUGCGGGUGGGAAUCGAACCCGGGCCUCCGGGUGCGGGGUGACCGAGCACACUUCUUUGACGCCACCUGCAGCUUCCCCGAUUCCGGCUGACCGGAAUCGGGGGAGCUGAUUCCGGUUGGCUGAUUCCGGUCAGCUGAUUCCGAUAUGCCUAUCGAGCGUGCGUCAUUGCACACGUAACGUCGCAGCCAUCUGGCUGACGACACGUGUGGCUUAGUGCGUGCGUCAUUGGUCACGUGACAACGCCAGUUAAUGGGGAGGAGGUGGCGCCACGUGAUGACUGUAUAAUAUCAGCGUGUUGAUGACGAGCCGAAGUCUAUACAAACAGUGUAAUGCUUUCUCAUUCCCACGCGUAAGCAGUCUUUACCGAAUGCACAGUCACAGCCGUACGCCUCCGCUAUGCUAAAACUUUGGGGUGGUUGUUGGGUAUACAGCGUCCCACUGCUGAUCGUCAUGACAAUAAACGCCUCGCAGGGGCUCCAGCGACAAGAAAAUCUACGCGGUCAUCGGCCUGUGUCUACUGCUGUCGGCUGUAAUCGGCGGUAUCAUUCUCGCCACGUCUGGGUCGUCACCCCACGACGCAACCGAUGAAGGUGGCGACUCUGGUAGUGGCGGCGGCGACGGCGGCAGCAGCGAUUCUCCGUCCUCUUCCUUUUCGUCGAGUUCUCCACCCUCGCCACCACGGACUACUAAGCCAACUACUGAGCCGACAACCAAGCCCGCGCCGAUGCCUGAGCCUACGAUGACGCCUACGGUGACGCCUACGAUGACGCCUACGAUGACGCCUACGAUGACCCCUGCGAUGACGCCUGCGAUGACGCCUGCGAUGACGCGUAACACGACCGCGCUGGAGC